rnacentral:rRNA from 1 species
CCUACGGGGUGCUGCAGUGAGGAAUAUUGGUCAAUGGACGAGAGUCUGAACCAGCCAAGUAGCGUGAAGGAUGACUGCCCUAUGGGUUGUAAACUUCUUUUAUAUGGGAAUAAAAUGUUCCACGUGUGGGAUUUUGUAUGUACCAUAUGAAUAAGGAUCGGCUAACUCCGUGCCAGCAGCCGCGGUAAUACGGAGGAUCCGAGCGUUAUCCGGAUUUAUUGGGUUUAAAGGGAGCGUAGGUGGAUUGUUAAGUCAGUUGUGAAAGUUUGCGGCUCAACCGUAAAAUUGCAGUUGAAACUGGCAGUCGUGAGUACAGUAGAGGUGGGCGGAAUUCGUGGUGUAGCGGUGAAAUGCUUAGAUAUCACGAAGAACUCCGAUUGCGAAGGCAGCUCACUGGACUGCAACUGACACUGAGGCUCGAAAGUGUGGGUAUCAAACAGGAUUAGAUACCCUUGUAGUC